CCAACGUUUGACCGUCCGUCUUAUUUAAAAAAAUAUUAAAAAAUUAAAAAGAUAAGUCACGUAUAAAGUAUUAAUCAUGUUUUAUCAUCUAACAACAACGAAAAUAAUAAUUAUAAAAUAAUUUCAUAUAAGACGGACAGUCAAACGUUGGCACGGGAACCCACAGUU
rnacentral:pre_miRNA from 1 species